GAGACAUGUGAAGAUUUUGGAAACGAUAGUAUCGUGCAUUUCAGUUUUCGCGCAUUUUUGUUUUUUCUAAAAUGUUCAUGUAGCCCAUUAAGACGUCCAAAUCCAAAGGACCAAACCUUGUAAAAAACAAAUGGAUACGGAGGCCGGAAACCUGAAGGAAUAGGUAGAAUUGCGGCGUGGGCGAGCUGGCAUUCAUUAACCCGACUUUGGCCCACUAUCCGGUCGGCCAUGGGUUCCAUCUCCAGUUGCCAAGGCACCAUGGCCUGCAGAACGAGGCAUCUUUAAGGGAUUUCGAAUGAAUGGACCAUGGCGUCGCAGAAGAAGUUACCCAGGUUGCACUCUCCGGCGGCACAAUCGUCCUUGGUGAGGUCCACCUUGGAAGUGCCCACCACUACCUUGCCCAUUUCGUCGAUCUCCUCCUUCCAUGGCUGCAUAGCCUCCAGCACUUCCUCGUCUACAGGGAGCACAAUGCCCAGACACAGAUGGAUUACACUAUUUGCCAUCAAGGACUUUCACAUGGAACACAGCAAGUCACAGGAACUGAUUUGCCAGAGCCUUCCACAAAAAAAAAAUAUUUGAACUAGUAAAAUGAAGCACUGAUAUAAGCAAAUGAGUUAAAAGAUCCCUACAUAUCCACUCGUACUGACCUUCUGGC